rnacentral:SRP_RNA from 1 species
AUGAGGCAUGGAACAUACCUAUAAUCCGUGAUACUGGGGAAGUGAAGGCUAACAGAUCUCUUACACUCAGGAGUUCUAAGCUAUAGUGGGCUAGGCUGAUGGCAUGUCCACACUAAUUCUGUCACUAGUAUAGUGAGCCCUCAGGAGAGGGAGUCCACAAGGCUGCCUAAGGAGAAAUGAAACAACCUGAGUCUGAAGUAGAGCUGGUCAAAGCUUCUAUGUCAAUCAGAGUGAAAUCAGGCCAUGAGUAGCCACUGAAUUUACAGCCUAGAUAAAAUAAGGAGACAUAGACUUUU